rnacentral:rRNA from 1 species
GACAGAGGGUGCAAACGUUGUUCGGAAUUACUGGGCGUAAAGCGCGUGUAGGCUGCUCAGAAAGUCGGAUGUGAAAGCCCUGGGCUUAACCUAGGAAGUGCAUUCGAAACUUCUGAGCUUGAGUUCUGGAGAGGAAGGCGGAAUUCUCGGUGUAGAGGUGAAAUUCGUAGAUAUCGAGAGGAACACCGGUGGCGAAGGCGGCCUUCUGGACAGUGACUGACGCUGAGACGCGAAAGCGUGGGGAGCAAACAGG